CUUCCGCGCGUUCAUUGAAUUUCUUCACUUUGACAUUCAGAGCACUGAGCAGAAAUCACAUUGCGUCAGCACCGAUCAACGGCCCUCGCAAUGCUUUGUUUUAAUUAGACAGUCGGAUUCCCCCGGUCCGUGCCAGUUCUGAGUUGGCUGUUUUCUGCCGGCCGAAGCAAGAA